rnacentral:lncRNA from 1 species
GCGUAAACAAAGGCUCUGCCGCCGCUGUUUAACCAAAUCAUAUCUAUCAGUCAAAACCAGGGACCAAUGCAAUUUUUAUUUUAAUAUACAGCAGCCGUUUUUGGCUGUUCGUCGCGUGUUCAUCUACUUGAUGUUGUUUUACAAUAUAAUUUAGCAUUUGCAGUAUGGUUUGCCCGAUGCCAUAACGUAACGCAUUAUCCGUCGCCGCCGCCACAUAAUCAUCGUACGCGCACGGUGCGUGUGUGUGUAUGUUAUUAUCAUCAUCGCCUCCGUCAUCGUCAUCGUGUCGUCUUAUUUUGGCUAUUCUUGCCAUUCGCUGAGCUUUUAUUCAAUAUUCGUUACCGACAUGGGAACAUCCAGCCAGAUCGACGACUUUUUGGUCGUCCAUUGACCGGCAUUUCGUCGUCGUUUUCCCCGAGUAAGUUAGCAUAAUACAUACAGAUAUCACACAUUGCGCGCCAACCGGGCAACGGAUACCGCGCGCUUCGCCCCCCCCCGCAUACCGCCGUACUUUUACUACCGGUUUUUCAAAAUUUGCACGUAGACGUUAUACGGUAUCUCGUAUAUGAUUUGUACGUGCGUUCAGUUUGAGAUUUGAUUUCGUUUCUCAACGAAAGUUCUACCGCCCUCCUUUCCGUCCGUCGUGUGCGCCAGGCGGUUCGCGGCGAUUGUGUUGGUACGGUCGCGCGCGCGCUAGCCAAAACAUAACCUCUAUGUCCGUGUAUCGUCGUCGCCGCUGCCCGCCACCACUGUUACCGCGUCUGGGUCUCCAUUCAUCCCCUUUGUUUCCGGGACGACUUUAAAAAUCAUACCACCACUUGUCUCCCGCGACGUCUUGUCACGAUCUACCCGGUCUGUCGUGCAAUGUGCCCGGCGUUCAUCAUCACCACGUUUGCUGACUGUAACUCGAUAAAGUACCCCUGACCGACGAUUAUCGUCGGUGGGCACUUGUGUUUCGGCCGACCAAACCCUCAUCGUAACUGGACGGUAAUGCUUUUGUUUGAACACUCUUAUCCUAGAAUAAUAAUAUGUCUCCAUUUGUCAAACUUGAAUUGAACAUUGUCCGAGCAUUUGAUUUUUGUCCAUCUGGUGGCUGGUUUACUUUUGAGAACUUUUGGUCUAAGUUGUUGAUAGAAUUGAUUGUUACCACCACCUAAGACUGAUUUUAAAGUUAACUGCCCUAGGUACCUACUUUGAAAAAAUAGUGUAAUGUGUACUUAUUCUAUGUUUAAAAUAAUACAAUAAAUUUGUUAUUUUAUUCAUUUUUAUUUUUUUUAAUAAGUCCAGAUUUUAUCACUAUUUUGUUAAGCUUGAUAAUCCUAUCCAACCUGAAGUUUCCCUAAAAGACAAGGUAAUACAUUUAUAAGCACAAGCCUGAAAUAUUUAUUUAUUUUGGUUUGUAGUUUUUAAAUAGGUAUACUUAGAUUAAUACCUACCUAUGUCGGUGAAUACUUACAUUUUAUAGAUUUAUUUUAAGUGAUUAUAAAAAUUGUUGGCUUUUACAUUUCUAGCUAAACAGUUUAAUAAUAUUUAAUUUAGCUUACAUUAUUCUGAAUUCAAAUAAAUGCCUACUUCUCAACCUUUAUCUCACAAAAGUGAGGUCUGCUAUUCUUAUUUUCACUGUUUAUAUUUCUUUAUUCAUCAAUAUUCCUUCAUCUUACUAAAUAUUCUACAUAUCGUUAUAUAUUAGCUAGGGCGCCUCUACUUACUAUAUAAAACAAUAUUUAUGUACCAAUUACCUUCAAAUGAAUAUCUUGGGGGGUUGGGUUAUAUCUAUGUCUGAACAAAUAUAUUAUUUAAUUAUUAUAAAUACUAAAAAAGAUUCCUAUGCAUAUCUAUCUAUUUUUAAAAUUACAAUGUAUAUGCUUUAGAACAGUUUAUAAACCCUGUUUAUCCCUUGACUUUCCAUAGAGUAAAAAGUGUAGUCAAUUUUUUUUUUCGUCUCUUGAUUGAACUAUCUUGGGUUUUAUAAAAUUCAAAAAAUGUUUAGAANUAAUUGUUUUCUUUUUAAAGUUUUAGAGUUUCUUACUUACCUUUUAUCUUAUUUAUAAUAUUCCUAUAUAAAGUUGAUAUUUUGAUUAGAUGUAGAUUGAUAACUUAAACAACAAAAUGAUUUUAAAUAAAAAAAAUUUGCCCAUCCCUUGACUUUCCAUAGAGUAAAAAGUGUAGUCAAUUUUUUUUUUCGUCUCUUGAUUGAACUAUCUUGGGUUUUAUAAAAUUCAAAAAAUGUUUAGAAUCUUUUAGUUUUGACCUUUAAAUGACAAAAUAAGUAUUUGGUUUCAUAGUUGCCGUUAGUAUUUUAUUUAUUAUUAUUAUUUUUAUUUUUUAAUGUUUUUUGGGGUUCAAUUUUUAAAUUCAAAUGGGAACCUACUCCUAUUCAAAAUUCCAUACAUAGAGUGUUAGUUUGAAUACAUUUUUGAUGUCUAUUAACCCAUUGAUGAGAUGUUUGAACAUUGAUCCAUUACUCUACCCUUGUAAUGUUUUUAAGACUUUAAAAUUUAAACUAUGUAUUGACAAAUGUUUAAUAUACCUAUGUAUGGUUUAAUUAUGAAUUCUUUUCAAUAACCAUAGAUUAUUUAAAUCAAAAAAGGCACAAAAUACAAACUUGUUUAUAUAUUAUAAAAUAUGUAGAAAUAAAUUAUUAGAACUUAUUAGAACAACCAAAGUACAAUAUUAUAAAGAUAAAUUUAUUUAGAGACGUUUAUAAAUUGAAGGUUAGACCAAGUUAAGGUAGCUUGUGAAUAUUGUUUUAAUGAAUCAUUUCUAAUUUUUUUUGAACAGAAAGAUGUGUUAAAUGUAGGUAAUGAAAAUUUAAAGGAUGCAACAGCAUUUUACUUUGAUAGAUUAACGGUUAAAAUUUUAAAAACCAUCAGAAAUUAUAUUAUGUCACCUUAAGUAUUUAUUUUAUAUUUACUUAUGCAUAAAAUAAGAUUCUUUCCUAAAGAAAUAUAAAAUAGCUAUAGUUUACUCAUUGUAUAAAUUAAGGAGGAAAAAAAAUGUAUCUAACAUAGGCCAAUAUUUCUGUCAAUAUCUAUGAUGUUAAAUCAAAAUGUAUAACAUUAGAGCGUUAUAAACUAUUAUCAAAUAAUCAAUCUUGUUUUUGACCUGAUAAAGGUAUUAUAAAAACUUUAUUCAAUGACCAAGUUCAUAUAUUAAAAAUUAGAUAAUAGUGAAAAAGUUAAAAUAUUAUUAUUUGCAAUAUUUUUGGAUUUAACAAAGUAUAUAAUUAAUUACAUAUUUAGGUUUAAUUAUAGACUGGAAUUUGAGAUAGAAUUUACAUAUUUAGAAUACUUACAAUGCGCUUGGGAGUUUUAUAAUCUAAACAAAAUGUUACCUGCUGAAGUCAUGCAUACUGUACGCUCUAUACAAGUCUAUCAUGCAAUAUGGUCUAGUUGUCUGGGAAAGGUGUGUGGAUAUUGUAAUGAUAUUCUUUAAUAGUGAAACAAAAUUUAGCUGUCAGAAUAUGUUUGAACAAAAAGAAACAUAGAGAUCAUCAUAUUUAAAUUGCAAAUCGCUAAAAGUAUUGCUUGUUAACGCUUAAUAAGUUCUUUGUUAUUUUUGAUAUCUCAAAAAAAAAAAAAUAACGAAACAUGAAAAUAAACAUGAUUUUAGAGCAUAUGGUGUUGUAUAAAAUAUACAAAUAAACAAUUCUGUACAGAAGUUGGUUGAUUAUUUGGGUUAGUGAAUUUAAACUGUACCUAAAGAUUAGUAAUAUGUAUAGUGCUAAUCUAAAGUAUAAUUAUACGCACAAUAAAAUAAUUAUUAAAUAAAAGAUAAUAUUGUAUAUUUGUACAUUUUUAUAUUUAAAAGACAAAAGCUGUAUUCUCAUAUAUAAAGCUUAAACAUCUUUUGUUUUUGUAACUUAUUUGCCCCACCACAAGAAACACUUUUUGGCGGGGCAAUUAAUCAAAUUGUAUUUUAUAUUUUGUAUUGUGUAUGUUAUAGUUUAUGAAGUCCCUAAGAUGGCCAUGUGUGAUAAUUCCACCUAGGUAGUACUCAAAAGCUGAAGAGUGUGUCUUAUUAAUGGAUAACAUAACAAAAUUAUAUUAUUUUUUUAAAUUGGGAUAGUUUGAAUUGAGAGUUUAAACACAGAUAACAAAAUUGGUUGUAUCCUAGUCAUUGGGCACUCGGGUAGAUAAUUGGGAACUGGCCGCCCACUACUCAAUUUCAUUGUAUUAUCACUGUAGGCAGGUUCAAGUACAAUAGUCUUGUCAAUAAUACUUAAAAUUAAUUAUUUUAAAAUCAACACAAAAUUUGUAUAUGUCCGUUAAUUUAUUUAACUUGAUAUUAAAUGUUUUUUUUUCAAAAAACUCGUCUUUUAUCUAGACCUAAUUGGUGUUCUUUUAUUAAUUUAUCAUUUGAAAAUAAAUACAAUGUAUUACUGUUUACUUCUUUGGUCUAAACUUUAAACGGUUAUAACUCAUAAACAGUAAAUCUGAUAUAGAUGUUAAUUAUGCAUAUCAAAAUUUCUAGGAAAAUAUUCACUAUUCGAAUCUGUAUUUAAAAACAAAAGUAUAUAUUUAUUUAAGAUAUAUGGAGUAGGGAUACAAAAUUAAAAACCAUUUAAAAUAAAGCUUAAACGAUUCCACAAUGAUUAAAAAAAAAAAAACAAUCUAAUUAUCUUAGAAUAUUACUGAUUCAUAAUUGUCCUGUAUUUUAGAAAAGAACAAAUGUGUGAUGCCCUCAAAAUUAUUAUUGUUUUUAUUUUUUAGAUUUUGAGUGGAGCAUUCUGGGGUGGCAUUUUAAGGAAGUCAUUUUUUGAUUUUCCUUGAAGUUUUCCAAUAAAUGGGAAUAGUGGGAGAAUAGGUACAAUAUUAAACAACUAUUAUUAUAGAAAAUAUAUAAUGAAUAUUAUGUAAUUAUUUUAAAAUAAUAUGACAUACAUUGUUGACAAAGUAAUACUAUCAACUGAACUCCACUCAGCAUUAUUUUUUCGUUAGUAAUGGUUUAUUGUUGCCUACAGAUAUACAUUAAAUUACUUACAACAGUGCCUAUACACAUCCCCAUUAAUGUAGUACAGCUUUUUGUUAUCUGUUUUAUAAACUUUAAUUUCAACCUAAGUACCAGAAUUUAAAUUUCAAGUAUUUAAUGUAAUAAUUUUGCUAUGUAUGUUGUCUAUUAAUCGGACAGAUAUUAAAUGCUGGGUGUAUUAUUUUUCUAGCUUUAAAAUGGCAUAGAACUAAUUAGACUAGCAUACCUAAUAAUAACAAUUUUUUAAUUUGAGUUUACUAAAUAAAUAUACAAUUUACAGUCAAUAUAAUAUAUUCAAAUAACAAUAGUAAGAGACAUAUCUACCUAAUUUAAAUUUAAUUCUUAUAUAAAAUAUUAAUUUCAAAUAACUACCGUAAGAAAUAAUUAUUAUGAAUUCUACAAAUUAUUUUUUUUAUUUAUUUAUGAGUUUUAAUCAUUUUAUAAUUUUGUUUUUACUUAUUUAUUUUUAUUUCAUCAAGACAUGUUUUUUGAUAAUUUUUUCUAUUAAUUUUAACCGUUAAUAAUUUAUUAAAAAAUAAAAAAUUUUUAAAAUGAACAAGAAAUAAUAAAUAUUAGUGAUGAUUGAUUACUGAAGUUUAAGUUAAAUUUUUAAUGAAAAAAGUAUCAAAUAAUUAAAGUAAUUUUGUACCUAUUUAUUGCAAUGAAACAUAUUAACCUCCAAAUCAUAAUAUAUUAAUGAUUUACCUAAUUUAUAUUUUAAUGGAAAAUAAUAAACAAUUUAAAUAUUCAGUGAAUGUACCUAAUAUCUAUAUAAUGCUAUUAAAAUAGUUAUUUUUAUAUUUCUUUUAAAUAUAAGUGAAUAUACAUAUGUUCUGAAUAUAUAUAAACAUAUCUAAUAGAUAUUGUUUUAUACAUCUCGAUGUUGGUUGAAAAUAUAAUAUUUUGACAAUACAAACACAAUUAUGGUUUUUAUUUUGGUAUAAUAUGAAAAUGAUUGAAUUAACAAAACAAAAUAAUUUAAUAUUUAAUUUAAUUCACUUUAGUUUUAAUUAUUAAAUUAUUUGUUUGUUUUUAGAUUUAUUAGCUGUGGAAAUAUAUUUUAAAAUAUGUCAAAAGCAUGCAGAAUGUUGAAUCUGGACGAAGAUGGAUCUUCAACUCCGAAUACAGCAAUAAUAAAAUUAGGUUAGUAAAACUUAAUUCUUAUCUAGAAUUUAAAUAUUUAUAUUUAAAUAAUAAGUAUUUUGGUACUAAGUAUGCAAAAUGGAUUUCAAACAAAAAUAUCUAAAAGUAUUAUUUUAUUUUACACACAAGAUCUUCCUUAUUUUAUGUGACUGUUUUCACUACCUAAUAUUAAAUUUUCAAACAUUUUGCUAAGCCAGUAACUUGUAUUCAUAUAAUAUGAAAAAUAGUUUAUGAAAUUUAAUGAUUUUUUAAAAUUUUUAUCAAAAUUUUGUGUUAAACACUUUAAAAAAAAAUUGUGUUCAUUGGUUUUUCAAUAUUCUUAUAGUAUUAUAAGAACAACUUAAUAUGGUGAAUUAUGUACUUAAUUUUCGAGCAUUAUUGAGUUUUCAAAAUUAUUUGAUCACAUAAAACCAAACGAAAUCUAAUAUAAAAUUUAAAAUUGCUAUGUACAAUUUAAAAACAGUAAGAAAAAGUAAAUGUACCUCAUAGAAUUUUGUAUUGUUCUAAAUAUACAGCUCAAAAUAAAAGACACAGAAACUUUUUUUUAAAUAUAAUUUUGAAUAGUUCAUGUUUCAAAAAACCUAUGUGAUUCUCUCCAAAAAUUACUGUUUUGUAUACAUUUCAUAACAGUUACUUUUUCUUUAAAAUCAAAAUUAAGCUAGUUUUAAUUAGUAAGCAUUAUUUUUGCAUCUUGCCCAGUAGUUGGACUGAGACAGUAAAUGCGGGUGUAAUAUUAUGAAGUCAAUGGAUUUCAUAUUAUUAUUUUAAUAUCUUUUGCCAAUCAAUAUAAUUUUCAAUUUUAAUUUAGCAACAAAAUGUUUAAAUAGGGUUUAUUCAAAAUCGUAUUAUGUUUGAAAUGAUUUAUUGUUGCAUUCAGGAUUUAAGGUGCAUUUACAUGGCGACUGUACUACCACAACAUUCUACAGCAGUUACUGUCACAGGAGGAGUACUGUUUACACGUGAAUGCAAAUUAAUAUGCAGUUGUGGCAGCCAUAAGCUAUUAUCACCUAUUAUUUUCAUUUAUUAUUAUUAUUAUUAUUAUAAUAUAUUUAAAUUGAAAUAUUAUAGGUGUACAAUUUAUUAAAGAUAGCAGAUAUAAUAGAUUUCUUAGUUAUAAGAGUUAUGAUUAGGGCUGAGAUUUAUAUGUAAUUACAUAUUUUUAUUAACACAUGAUAAAUUAAUCAGGACAAAUGAGAUUUUGUGAUUUUAGAACAUGUGAAAUAAGACAAAUUUCAUUUUACAUUUUUCAUCUUAAAUACAUAUUUUUACACGAGUUGUAAAAUUUCCUCUUUUCAUAACCUAUUUUGUCAAUUUACAUCAUUAAAAUUGGUGGUUUAAUAGUAUUAUAUUUUGAUAAUACUACUCGUAAAAGUUAUAAGUGUUUAUAGGGUUAACAUUGAUUGUUAUUUAGGGCUGGGAUCUAUAAAAUACUAAGAUCUCAUUAAGUAAAAACUUAAAAAUUAUUGAUUCAUCAAUUUCAAAAUUAAUGAAUUGGAAGGCCCAAUAGCUGAUUUAUUAAAAUAUAAAAUGAACAUAGUUUCAGCUAAAAAAAUUCGGGACUGAAGUCUAUUAAAUUUAUAGGAAACAUUCUUUGUGGUAUAUUGAAUGAAAAUAUGAUGGAGCUCGAUUUUUCACUUAGUGAAAUAACAGUCAUGAAGUAUGCACUGAUAACAUCCUGUGAUGUGGAACGUUAGUUUAAUCAAUAUAAGUUAGUGUUAAGACCUAAUAGUCAUAGCUUUAAUUUUGAAAACUUAACACUAUAUGGUUUGUCAUUGUUUUACUUUGGAUUGGUAUUUUUUAAUAUUUUUUUUAUUACACACUUUAUUUUUUACUACCUAUUUUGGUCAACAUUUUCAUACACAUUUCCAUAUUUUUAAUUUUUUUAAUUUUCACUACAUAUUUUGGUCAUUUUAAUUACAUAUAUAAAUGUUCAUAUUAUUGUUUUUUUUUAUUAUAUAUAAAUCCCAGCUCUAGUUAUGAUCCAUUGAUUUUUAUGCUCUUAUUAGUUUUUGGUUGUAAGUAUUUCUAAAGCUUCUGAAUAGCCCAUAAUCCUUUUAUUCUUUAAGUGCUGGAUAUCGGCAAUAGUUGUUCUUUAGUAAUAUCCCUCUCUGAAUGAAUCUUAAAUUUGGGAAUCGCUUUGUUUCACAAUCAUGGAUGAAAUUGAUAUUGUUAAGAAAUUUGAUUAUAACAAACAUGGUUAACAAAAACGAUAAAGGUAAUUAAAUGUGUAAAUGUGGCUUAACACGUAUCACUUUUAGCGCUGAGUGAUAACAAAUAUUUUGCAUGUGACAAUAGUUGUUGCACAAUGUGUGAAUAGUGAUUACACGUUAACAGUCCAUGGUAGCUACCAGAGUUACUACUGUCAUGUACUCUCGCUAGUACUGCUAAGUAUAGCUAUUACUUAGUACUGCUAAGUAUAGCUAUUACUUAAUAGUGGUGACUGUUACUGUGUAAAUGUGGCUUUAAUCUAAAUUAUCUCGUGCUAUCUUUUCAAUUCAUAUUCAAAACAGUGGCCUACCUAUGAACAAUAUGAGUAUUGACUUUUUCCUAGCUCUUUAUUUUAAUGAGAUAUAAGGCCGCCUGUCUAUUUUAAUACAUGUAUUUCUUUGACUUGUUUUUAUUCAUUUUUUUAUAAUUUAUAUAUUAAUUUAAAAUACUUGAAAUGAAAAGCAUUUUAGCACAUUUCAAGCACAAAAUCUUAGAUAUUUUCCUACAACCUGAUAACAACAUUCUAUUUAAAUAAUAAAUAUUUAACAUAGACAAGUUUAAUUUAUUUAUGAAUUUAUCCAUAGUUUAUCUUUUUGUUCAUUAUUAUUUUACAAAUAUAGCCACCACAUUCAAAUGUUUUGACUGCCUUAUUUAUUAUUUUAUAAUAGGUAACUUGUAUUGUUCUCACCAAUACAAUUUUUAUAAACAUAUUUUUCUGUUCAUUAUCAGAUAUAUCAGUUGUGUAUCUAUUUUGUAGUGUGACUCGUAUCAAUAGCAGAAAGUUAUUCAAUAUUCUAUAGUUCGUCUUUUUUCUUCUUUUACUUUUUAUAAUCAUUAAAUUUAAAAUGUUGUGUUUGGUUUUCGGUUGUGUGUGUUAUAGCAACAAAGAAGAAAAUCAGAACAUCCUUUUUAUAGGUUUUCAAAACGCGAACAACUCCUAAAAGAUAUAAAGUAUGGGUUAAUGUUUGUAAAUGUAAACGUUUUAUGCUAGGAAAAAAAUAAUAGAAUUUAUUCAUCCCAUUUUAAAAGUGAUGAUUCCAAUGAGUUUGGUGUAUUACACGAGCAACUUAUUCCAGACACAAAAGUAGUGAUCAAAUUAAAAUCUAAUGUUUAUCAUACUAUUUAAAAAACAAAAUGUGGGAACACUUCUCUUACCUUACCAUCUAUAAGCAGAUGUGAAAAACUUAAUAGAAAAAAAAUAAAUCUAAUUUACACUAGCUUUAUUAAAAUCUCUAGGUUAAGAAUUCUAGGCAAAUUAAUAGCCCAGAAAUUAACCUUUAAAUAAAAGCUACCUCGUUAUAUAAACAUCUAGAAGAUAAUGAUUCAAGACCAAGUUCUAUAGUAAUAAUGUCUAAACCCACAUUAGUCUUUCCUAGUUUAAAAGCUGUUAUCUCAAAAAACAACAUAUUUUAUCAAGUUUAUCAAUUAAACUAAUUUAUUUAGAAUUCUGAACAACUGAUGAGAAUUUUAAGAUUGACCUAACGAGGGAAUGGUAUAUAAACCUUUAAACAUAUAAUAUUUUUAAAAUCAAAACAAUUAUGUUUAAUAAAUCCUAAACAUGUAAUGCUUUACUAUAUAUUAUAUCGAUUUGGGUAUUAAAUGAUGAGUCUGAAAACAAUAGUACACCCAAAUCACAAAUAGAAGUAGUAUAAUUUAAGGAAAAAACAUUUAUCAUAAGGAAAGAUAGAUUUAUUCUUUUGACUAGAGAGAGAAAUACAUUAACAUUUCCCGGCAUUUAUUGAAAGACUAUUUUUGAAACACCAUUCCGAAAAUUUGUCAAGGUCAUGUUGAAUUCAAACUAAACAUAAGGAUAUAGAAUAAUUGUGUUCAAAUCCAUCACCAACAUUUGGCUCAAAACUUCAUGGUUUUAAAAACAUUUUAAAACACAAUGUUUGAUCCAUGAUAAUGAAUGUAUAUUGAAACAAUACGCAAUCCAAUAUUUUGCAACAAAUUGCAAUACCUACUUAUUAUUAUAUAACAAAAUAAAACGAAUUUAGAAAAACCCAUAAACUGCAUUGCAUUUGUACUAUUAUUGUUUGUAUUGGUACAUGAACAAACAAAAAUAUGAGUCUAUUUUGGAUAAAUUAACUUUUUCUGCUUUUAAUAUUCAUUAUUAUAAUAGGAUGUUGGUAUUAGGUUAUAAUAAAGUAUCUAAGCUUUUUGUAAUAUGAAAAUAGCUUUUCAUUUUGAGUAUUUUAAGUUAAUGUUUAAAUAAAUGACUAUAGAUGUGUCGAGGAAAUGCGUGUAUUGAAAUAGGCAGGCAUCCAAUCAAUGUUUUAACCUGUGAUGUCACGCGUCAUUUUAAAACGGAGUAAUGCAAUAAAGAACUAUUUUUACCAAGAUUCAUUCAAUAUUUUAUAAUAAUAAAAAAUUUUAUUUUUUCUUGAAUAGUCCUUAAACAUUUUUAUGUGAAUUUUUGCUAUUUUCUUAAUCUGGAAUAAAAACAAUUUUAAUUGAAUGCAUUUUUUAAGUUUUUACUUGACCUUAAAGUGUUAAAUACAAUAAAAAAUUUAGAAUUUAAAUUCACUAAAAUACAAAUUUGAAAGAAAAAGAAAUUCUAAUCGGUUUUAUUAGUUAACUAUCAAAUUAAAAAAAAAAAAUUAUUUCAUUUUUUUUUUAGUUAACUUUACUAGUGGUGUUUUUAUGCUGCAUAAAAUGUAAUAAAAAGUUUAUGAAUUACAUAUGUUAAUAUUAUCAAUUCUAGUUUUUUAUAUUUCUACUGAAUACUGUAAUGCACAUUUUACAUUUUUAUUUUCAUCUUUAUCCUUCCUACUCUUCAAAAAUAUUUGUUUUAUGUUUACCCCCUUUCAUUUUUACUUAUAAGAUCUUUAGUCUUAGAUUUAUGAAACUAAAUUUUUAUUUUUUAACUGGUUUCUUGUACAAACUAGGUUACCUACUUAAAUUUAAUCUUCUGUGACAAAUUAAUUUAUCGUUUACUGAAUUAAAUAUUCACAAUCAGUUUUAGUUUUAUAAUAUUUAUUUAUCUCUACCAAAUUCAAUUUAUUGUUAAUCUGAAAUAAAAACUAAAAUAAGAUACAAAAAUAAACUUUUUAACUUAAAAUAUAUAUACAUUUAUCACUUUUUUGUGUAUAACAAUAACCAGCAUAUUAUUUUCGAUACCUAUUUUAGUUUGUCUGAAAUAUUAUACUUACCAUUGAUCAUUAUUAAAUGAUUAUUUUUAAAGAAUUAUUGUUUUCUAAAUAAUUUACGUACAAAAAUGUAUGUUUUAUACUUGUAUUGUUUUUGUUAUAGAUUCAAACAUGACAACUUUCUUGACACCAUCUCCAUAUCAUUUGCUUGAUCAUGAAUAUGGCAUGACACCACAAAAUCAAAUCAUUCCAAAUCCUUUAACAUCACCUUUAACAAAAUCUCAAGUAAGUAAUUCUGUAUGAAAUUAAAAAAAAAAUUUAGGGAUCUGAAAUUAUUGGAUAAUUAUAUUAUUUAAUUAUUAGUUAAUUUAAAUCAAAAAAGAAAAUGUAUAAUGUGUUAAAGUAUGUAAUACUAUGUAUAGAAUCAAAAAGCUUUGUGUUUAUUAUUAAAAAAAAUUAACAUAAUAUAAAUAAAUAACAAUAUAGUUUUAAUUAAAUUUUAAAUUUUUAUUAUAUAUUAUCAUUGAGCUCUUCCAUUUCUUUAAUAUGUAUGCUUCCCAAAUCCAAUUUAUACAAUUUUUUUUUUUCAUAGCUAAAUUUGAAUUCAUGUACUCAUAAGCAAAUGUUCAUUUUCCAGCUUUAUCAUUUCCAAGUCUCUUCCGUAAUCUUAAUUGUACAAGUGAAAAAGUUGAAAAUAUUGUUUCAACCCUAACUAUACUUGCAAUUGCACUUAGUACUUGAUUACACAAUGUUAACCACUGAUCUUUCAAAUUUUCUCAAUCAAUCAAUGUGUUAUUAAUGGUGUUAAAACUCAUAGAAUGCCAUGAAAUUGUUGGUGACGUGGAUUGUAAUGACUAUAUACAACUGAUUUAAAUGGUGCUUAAAUAGCACCAACAAUGUCAUAUUAAUAGGGCUCGGAUUUUAAAGCAUAAUAAAAAGCAAAAAAGUAGUAUAUUUAUUUUCAAAAAAAGAAAAAAAAAGCAUGACCAAAAAUUAAUUUAAAUUUAAAAAAGAAUUACUAUGUAUUUUGUAAUAUUUGCAGUAGUGGAACUGACUAUUGUCUGACAGAAUGUUUUUAUACAUAGAAAACGAAUGCUCUACAUCCACUGAAGUGAUCGGUGCAUACUUCAUACAAGAGGUUUCGUCUAAAUCAAACCCAUGAUAAUUUUUGCAAUAUUUAAUUAAAAAUUCGUGAAAAUGAUUAUUAUUUAGUUUAUUCAUUGGAAUAUUUUCAGCUACCAAUGUUGAACACAAAUCUGCAUUAUAAUCUGACUGAUUACUAAAAUGUUGUAUAAAUGGUUGAAGUUAUCCAGACUUUUUAUUUUUGUAUCUUAACUGCUUGCACAUGUUUUCCUCUUCGUACAUGCUGUUGUACAUUAUAUUUUUUUUCACACAAUACUUAUUACACUUAUUUAAGUUUGCAAUAUAAAAUUGAUCCAUCCAUCCAUCCAUUCUCAAUUAUUGAAAAAAAAAUUAACGCUCGAUAAUGUUAACUGGUCUGUAGUAUUUGAGAUGCUUAUAAAAGAAGAAAUAGAAUACACUGAAAGGAGACUAUUCUUUAAGCUAUACCAGAAGGAAACAGCUGUUAAAAGAUUAUAGCUGUAUAAGAUUUGGUAAAUUUGAAAUGAAAGCAUGCAUAAGAAAAGGAGUAAGGCAGGGUUGUACUCUCUCACCUAGCAUAUUUAAUGCAUUUAUCCAAGAGGCAAUCGUCAUAAUUAAAUAGAAAACAUUUGGGUAUAAAGCAGAUAAUAUAGCAUUAAUAGAUGAAAAUAAAGAAGGAUUGCAAAGGAUGUUGAGAUGUAUGAAAUAAACACUACCUACUCAAUGAACUAAAUAUGAAAAAGACUAAAGUUCUUGUAUGUAGCAAAAACAAUAAUAUUAGGUCAAGAAUACAUCUAUAAAAUAACCAAGAAAUAGAGAAAGUAGAAGAGUUUUUAUAUUUGGGAAGUAUAACAAGAUGGUAAAAGUAAAAAUGAAAUAAUUAAAUGAAUAUACCAAACUAAGAUAGUAUUUAAUAAAAAGAUAGAACUGUUUACUUAAAGAAAUAUAAGUAUACAUACCACAAACAUUUUUUUGAAGACUUAUGUAAUGAGUAUGUUUCUAUAUGGCAGCGAAAUGUGGACGAUUGCCAAAGGAAAGAGAAGAAUAGAAGCUUUUGAGAUGUGAUGUAAUAGAAGAAUGCUUAAAAUAGUCUGACGGAUUUGGUAACUAACAAAGAAGUAUUAGAAAUAAUAUCUGAGAGAAGACUAUGGCAGUGGUUUAAACAUCAGUGUGUGCUGCAAGCAUUCAUUAGGUGUACUGCGGUCUUUUGAAAUUUGUUUUCCUUAAAUUGUGACAAACCACUAGUUGCAGUGAUCCGCUCGUUAAGUAUGAAGUUGUAACUCAUUUGAGUAUAAUUAAUCAAUUUUGUUAUUAGUUCUAAUGUUGUGUAAAAAUUAAAAAAUUAAAAAAACAAAAAAGCCAGUGUGCCAUGGUUAAAAAAAGUUUGAAAACCACUGCUCUAUGGAGUAGUAUCAAGACAAUGGACAUAUAAUGUAUAAAGUAUUGGGCAUAUAAUGAGACAUGGUGGUUUUACAAUAUUUAUUUUUUUUUCUUUUGACAAUUUUGCUCUAAUUUACAAUGAUAGCACUUUUUUUCUAAAAUUAAGUCUGUUUGGAAAGGUACUUUUAAGGGGUAAUUUUCUGAUUUUCUCAAGAGUUUUUUCAAUGAAUUGGAAAAACUGAGAAAAUGGUGCAAUAUUAAAUAUUAUUACAGAAAAUAUUUAAUGCAUACAUAAUUAUUUUACUAAAAUAUGACAUAUUUAUUGUUGACAAAGAAACACUAUUAACCAAACACUGCUCAGAAUUGUUCUUUGUUAGCAAUGGUUUAUCGUUGCUUCAGAGUUCUCUCAUCAAAUUUGAAUAACGGGAAAAUAUAAGAAAUGUAGGUAUUAGUUAAAAUAUAUUACAGCCUUCUUUUUUUUGUGUACAAAUUUUCUACUAAGAAUUUUGCUUCAACUUGUAAUGAUAGUAAUGUUUCUUAAAGGAAAUUUCACUAGUUAGGUACUAUAGAGAGGUCAUUUUUUGAUUUUCUCAGGAGUUUUCUCAUUAAAUGUGAAAAACCAGGAAAAACGUAGGAAAAUUGAUACAACAUUAAACAAAUAUUAUUAAAUAAAAAAUAUAUAAAGCCUAUUAAUUAUUUUACUAUAAAAUGACCUAUAUAUUGUUGACAAAGCAUCACUAUCAACUGAACUCUGCUCAGAAAUGUUUUUUUGUAAGUAAUGGUUUAUCGUUGCUAACAGGUAUACAUUAAGUAUAUAUUAAGUUACAGAUAACUUAAUAGUUUACUAUAACAGUGGCUGCACACGUCUCAAUAUCCUAGGACUUCUUUUUUAGUAUUUUCCUCUAAAUUCUGUGUUCGUCUUGAGAAUUAUGGUUUUUGAGUUUUAUAAUCAGUUACAAUUUCUUGUGAUGGAGCGGAACAGGAAUAGUUGUUAUGUUAAUUCUCUGGUUUAUUUAAUGGUCAGACAUGUCUGAACAAGCCCUUUAAUAACAAAAAAAAAAAAAAAAAUUGAAAAUACAUGACAAUAUCUAACUUUAUUCGUAUCAUAUCUAUUUUGUAGAUUACUUCUAGUCUAAAAGUAUUAUUUUAUUGAUUACACAUUAGUACUAUUUUAUGAUAUUAUUUAUUUGUCAUAUAAUUUGUAUAACUUUGAAUAUUAUAAAUAUAGUUUAAUACAAUAGAAGAUGUGGAAUUAAUAUAUUUUAAUUGAUUGGUUAAGUCGGCAUUGUGUUUACAUUGAGUUAAAUAUCUGGGGUCUAGAUUAGUUAAUCAUUCUAUAGCCCGGUGAAAGUGUAAAUUCUUACACAAUGUGCUUGGCUGUCUGAGUGGUAUGUCCAUAAUUACAUUGUGGUGUGUCUCAUAAGUUCCCAUAUUUAUGUAACAUUUUCCCAGUGUUUCUGAUUCUGGUUCUGAGUUUAUUUAGGGCCACCUACACUUUACUGGAAGAUAAAAUCUCAUAUAAAUUAUCUCUUUCUCGUGCUGAAAUAGGGUUGAAUUAUGGCACAAGGGUGUUUUUUUUAUUUUUAAAUUAUAUUAGAUAAUUUUAUAUUUUAUUUAUUUAUAAACAAGAUACAAUGAAAUAGAUAAUAUUUCAUCAUAACCUUUAGCUAAUUUUUUAUAAAAUAAAAUUUGUUUUCAUGUUCAUAAUAUUUUAAAUUCUGAGUGUAGUAAAGAAUGUACAGGUUUUACAAAGAUGUUUAUUUCUUUUUUCUUUUUUAUGUGUAUAUAAACACUACCAGAAAGCUUACUCCAAUGUAUACAAUAUAGAUUUUUUCUGAAAGGAAAUUUUUUGGAGUGGUACUUUAAUCAUUUUUUGAUUUUUCCCAAUAAAGGAAUAAGUUAGAAAAAUGGGAAAAUGUGUAAAAUAUAUUAGUAAAAUACUAUGAUUUGUUUUUCUUUGAACAAAUUUUCUACCAGCAAUUUUGCUCCAAUUUACAGCACUUUUUUUUAAAAGAAAAUCAGACAUGGGAAUCAUUUUAAAGAGUUUAUUUUUCAAUUUUCCCAGUUUUUCUCAAUAAAUGUGAAGAAUUGAAAAAAAAAAUGAGAGAAAUCAGUACAAUAUUAAACAAAUAGUAUUAAGAAAAUAUUUAAUGCCUAUUUAAUUAUUUUACCAUAAUAUAAUGUAUAUAUUGUUAACAAAGCAUGAACUCCGUUCAGAAUCUUUUUAGUUAGCAAUGGUUUAUCAUUGCUUGCAGAUUUAAAUUAAUUUCCUCUCCUAUAUCCUACCUUUCCAACUUCUCGCCAUUAACAGUGGCUGCACUUAUAUUUUCAUAUAAAAAGAAUUAACAUUAAGACAAUUUGUGAAGAUAGAAUUAUUUUCUAUAAUUUAUAAUUUAAAAUUUUUUCGCUAAAUAAUUUAAGUUUUCCAAAUUAUCAAAAAAAAAAACAAACUGAAAAACAACCCCUUGUGCCACAAUUCAAUCCUAUUUCGGCAUGGGAAGAGGGUGAGUUAAUCAAGUCCACCAUAUUUUUUACAAAACUAUUUUUCAUAUAAAUAAAAAAAUGGGUGGAGGGGGGUACUUAAUUUUAAUUUCUCAAGAAAAUUUAAAUUCUAUAUGGAUUUGGAUUGGAUUACCUUAAUACGAGAGCUGUUCAGAAAGUAACCAGAGGUUUUAAAAUUAAAAUAAAAAUAAAAAAAAAAGAUUUUUAUUAUAAUAUACAUUUUGAAGGUCAACUCUUUUGGCUAUUUUUUUUACAUAAUAGCCAUUUAAAUUAAAUCAUUUAUCAUAAUGAGGUAUAAGCCUUUUAAUACCUUCUCUGUAGAAAUCUACUUAAAUCCAAUUGCAGGUUAAGAACUUUUUUAGAGUGGUAAAUGACAAUAAAAACAUUUCGACAAUCAUAAUAAUAAUCAUUACCUAUAUCAUAUUGUGAUAUCAUAAAAAUGAAAGAAGAAUCUUCUCUAAUCAACCCCCUCCCUACCCCCAAACAAAAUUUUUUCUUUUGGAUUUAUUAAAAACUCGCCAUUUGCAAAAAAAAAAAUAUUUUAAGAAAACAUUGGUCACAUCGAAACAAAGAAAGUUAUAGAAAAUCUCCAAAUACAGAUGUACUCCUAAGAAGUCACAGAACUCAUUGAUAUCAAUCCUGCUCUUAGACUCUGUUGGCGCGCAAUUUAAAUAGUCCUGGAACUUAAUCACACCUUGUAUAUUUAAAUUUCUUAUAUAUAAUAAAUAAAAUUUUACAAAUUGAAUUUUUCUUUUUAGGGUGUUAAACGGAGAUUGAAUUUAGAGACACUCAAUUUUGGGUAUGAAGAUGUUACAUCAACACCAAUGACAGCUAAGCGAAUGAGAAAAUGGUCCAGUUCGAGUGCUGGAAGUGAAUCACCUAGUCCAGCUCAAAGUGGUAAGAAAGGGAAAAUACCAAUUUGAACUCUAAUAAUAAUUUUAAAUAUGUUAUUUUUAGUUGCUGGAAAAAAGUGUUCUGAACGUCCAACACGUUAUGACACAUCUUUAGGUUUAUUGACUAAAAAAUUUAUUGGUCUUCUUGAAGAUUCUACUGAUGGUGUUGUUGAUUUAAAUAUAGCAUCAGAAAAAUUGGAUGUACAAAAACGAAGAAUAUAUGAUAUUACCAAUGUUUUAGAAGGUAUAGGAAUUUUAGAAAAGAAAUCAAAAAAUAAUAUUCAAUGGAAGUAAGUUAUUAGAAUUUUAACCGUUUAUAAAUAAUUUAUUAUCAUAUUAUGGUAUUAUUAUGGUUUAGAGGUGGAAAUGUAUAUGGAUCAGACAAAAAUAAUGUUCAACAGGAUAUAGACAAAAUGAAAGCCAAAGAAGAAGAAUUAGAUAAUUUAAUUUCAAAUACUGGUAUGAUUUUAUAAUUUAAUAUAUUUUUUUUUCUCAGUGUAUUGGUCUCUGUAUGACCUGUGCUGCCAUAAGUAAUCUUCUAACUUUCCCUGUUGACACAUAUCCACCAUCCAGGUGCCCUUCUGUGUAGAGAAAAUACUGUAAUAUCUUUCCAUCUCUUACACAAUCUAUGUUUUUUGGUAUAUAUAUUUUUUUUAUCUUUGCAACUUUUCUGCCAACCAUUUUGCUCCAACUUUUAAUAAUAGCAAUGUUUCUUCUAAAAAAUAAUUUCACUAGUAAGGUACUUUAUUAGAGAGGUAAUUUUUCGAUUUCCUCAAGUUUUUCUAGCAAAUGUGAAAACAGAAAACUGGGAAAAUUGUACAUAUUAUUAAAGAAAAUAUAUAAAGUCUAUUUAAUUACUUUACUAUUAAAUGACAUAUAUACUAUAUUGAUGACAAAGCAUCACUAUCAACUGAACUCAUAAUAGUUUUUUUUGUAAGUAAUGGUUUUUCGUUGCUUACUGGUACACAUUAAAUUACCUAUAACAGUGGCUGCACCAAUCUCCAUUAUCCUAUGACGUCUUUUAUUAUUUAUGUUCACUCUCAAAUACUUAAACUGUUCCAUUUUUUCAUAUGUGAAAUGUCUAUUUGUAAAUUAAAUUGAUUUCCACUUCUGGUGAGAACCAUAGAUAUAAUUUAUUCUUCGUUAAUAUGUUGCUCCAUCUUUUCACUGAUUGUCAAGAGUUUAAAAAACAUUGUCCAAAUAAAAUUUUGUCUGAUAUUGCUUAAAAUUUUAAUAUCCUUUAUGUAUGUAUGUGCUAAUAUGUUUCUUUUGCAGCCACAUACAUUUGUUAUGUAUGCUUUAGUUAUUUUAAAAUCUUUUCAAGGCUUAGGUUUAAAGGAGUUAGGGAAACAAGGCAUUUUUUUGUUGUAAAAAUCUGUUUUAUUAUAUUCUGCUUUAGUUUUUAUAGUGCGUUGUUCAUGUGUUUCUUACAAAUGGUAAUGUGUUGUUGUUUAUUAUGAAUCCUAUUCCAUAUUCUUUAGUUCUACGACAACUAGAAUAUAUUCACAUCAAAAAGUUUGAUUUCCUCCUACAUUUGUUCAUCUAAUCUCUUGUAUAGCUACUAUUUCACACAGAUAUCUCUAAAGUGCAUAUAUUAUUGUCGGCAUUACAUUUACUAUGUACAUUAGACGUACAUUUUAUGUUCCUAAAUUAAACUUUGGCUAUUUAUUUUUCAUUUGAGGUUUUGUAAUGUUUUGUUUUGGAACCUAAUUGUUUUUAUAAGUUAGGUAGUUAGUCCUACAUCUAUCCUCAUUAAUGAAGUCUUCACUUCUUUACUGGAAUAGUAGAGGGCUAUUGCAAUGUUGUUUCCAACACUGAGGGAUUAUAGCGUCACUUCCCUACGCCCAUUCCUACUAAAGUUGUCUGCCUAGGAUUUUUUGCCAGUAACUAUCCUCCAAUAGGAGCUCCAUGCUCUGGAUUCACACCCAUAAUAUAAAAAACUUCUCUUAAGGAGUUUUAUCAUAUUUAUGUAUUUAUUCAUUAUCCUAAAAAAAAGAAUUGAUUCUUUUCAUAACUCUUUCCUAUUUAUACUAUGUAAGCUUAUUUAUAAUCAAAGAAUAACAUAUAUUAUUUAGUAUGAAAAUGUUCUCUGUAGUUGACCUCCCUUUUCUGAAACCUUAUUAUUUGAUACUGCCAUAAAAAAAUGUCGACAUGUGGAGUUUAAAGGAUUGUUCAUAACACGUGUUUAUUAAUAAUUACCAAAAGAAUUUAUUAUGUUUGAUCAUUUUCCAUGUUUUAUUCUUCUUUACGGCUUCUUCCCUGUUCAUUAAUAAUUCUACUAUUGCUUUUGCCUGGGGUCUUAUUAUUCUUUAAUUUAUUUAUGAUAUUGUAGACUCUAGAUUUUAAGGAACUAUUAAUAUAAUAUGUUUCUAUCAUAUAUUAAGAAUAUGAAUAAAUAGUUCUAUUUAUAUAUAUUUUAAUAAAACAAUCAAUUAGAUUAGUUUAUUUCCAAUGUAAAAAGAAGAUAAUAACAUUAUUACAAAGAAAAAGUUUUCAUUAAUAUCUACUGAUAAUGAUUUUUUUUUUAUCAAUAAUUUUACUUACAGAACGAGAUCUUAAGCAAUUAACAGAAGAUAAAAGAUAUGGAUAUGUAACUUAUCAAGACAUUAGGUCUAUUGACUCGUUUAGAGAAAAGACUGUUUUGGUUGUCAAAGCACCUCCUGAAACUGAAUUACAAGUACCUCAAGAUCACAUUGACGGAGAAGUAAAUAUACCUAAAUGAUAUUCAGUAUUUAUGAGUAAUGAGCGUGAAGUCAAAAUGAGAAAAAUUACCCCUAAAUUCAAGAUUCUGGAUAAAUUUGUGUUUUUUUUUUUUUUUUUAAUUGAAAUAUUCAAUUUAGUAGUAGUUAUGGCUAUUUUAUGUUUAUACAUUAUAUAUAUUUGGUUUUAUAUCAUUUGGUAUAAUUCUGGUGUAAAAAAAAAAAAAAAAAAAAAAAAAAAAAAAAAAAAACUAGAUCUUCAGUAUGAUUUUUUGAGGGGUAUACAAUUUAGAAUAGUGACUAUGAUUUAGUUUGAAGUCUGAAUGAAAAAACUCUUUUUACUGGCAGUUUCAAUUAUCUGUACAUAUAGUUUGAUUCCCAUUUUCUCACUGACCUUGAUUUGAUUAACAUUCCAUUGUAUGAAUAAGUCUUCUAUUCUGCUUAGUAGGUUUUUAUUCAGUUUUGUAUCUGCAUUAUGUUCAGUAAUAAAGUAUUAUGAAUAUUAUUAAAUUUAUGUAAUGAACUUAAGAAGACAUUAUACCCCUAUCUACUGUCUCAGUCACAAUAUUAGUCUCCGUACUAUAUUUUAGAGAGAAUGUCUAGUGUUUUUUGAAUUAUGAACUAUUUUAAAGAGUAAAAAAAUUAAGGUUUUUUUUUGUCUUUUAUAUCAAGCUGUAUAUUUUGAAUAAUUCAAAAACCAUAUGACAUUCCCUGCAAAAUAUUGUUCUUUGUAAAUUUCAUAAUAGGUACUUUACUCAAAAAUCAAAAUUAAGAUAGUUUUAUUUAUUCUGUGUAAGCAUUUUUUUUGUAUAUUACCCGGUAAUUGGACUGAGACAGUAGAAACAAAAAAAUUUGUCUGAAAGUUAUUUGUUAUAGAAUGUGCAAUCUAUAUAUAUAUAUAUACAGGGCGUAAUCCCACAAGGAUUCAACAAAUGCAAUAACUUUUGCUCUAUUCAAUAUUUUUGAUGUAUAUUUUUUUAAAUAAUUAGUAUACCUCAGUUCUAUAGUUUAUAUAUAUAUGAACCUUUUUUUUAAAAAAAAGAAGGGGGGGACUUAAAAUAAAAAAACUCAAAAUAGCCAUUUUGUAAAAUAGAUUUUUAGAAAAAUUUUGGUAGUUGAAACUUUUGUUAAAUUAUGGUCUUUUAUUUUCUACAAUUUUUUGAAGUUUUGUUAAUGUGAAUAUUACAAUAUUUUAUCAGUUAUUGGUCAGGGCACAUGACAAGGAUUUUCUUUUCCAUGAGUUUUUAUCAUGCAAUAAUAUUAUCAUAUAGGUAAUAAGUGGUAUAAAUCAAUUAAUAAUAGUAAUUUUAUGGUAUUUAUUAAUUAAUUAAUUUAAUAGUUGUUAAAAAAGAAAUUUUCAACAAAUCUUAGAAAAUUAAAGACCAUACUUCAACAAAUGUUUCAACUACCAAACAUUUUCUUUAAAUCUAUUUUACAAAAUUAUUAUUUUGAAUUUUGUAAAGAAAUUUAGUAAUUUUUUUUAUUUGAAGUCCCCCCCUCUCUAAAAUAAAUGUUCAUAUAUUAACUAUAGCGCUGAGGUAUAUUAGUUAUUUAAAAAAAAAAAUAUUGAAUAGAACAAAAGUAAUUUAAUUUAUUUUAGUCUCAUAUGCUAAUUUGAGAACAAUACAAUUUUCUAAAAAGUGAUAUUAUAAUUAUAACAAGGUAGAAUUAUAUUCAUCAUCACACUUAAAUGUGGACUUUCAACUGUUAAAUAUGGUAACAACCAUUCUCUGAUAAAGUUGGUCAUCUGUUCUAGUUAGGUAGGUGGUUAUGUUUGGCUGCUAUAAGUACCCCCACCUAACCCACCUAUGUUUUAUUUAAAUUCUGAUACUAAUUUAUUGUGACUUACCAUAUUUUUGAUUCUGAUGAAUUCCUAUGUUUGUUUAGCUUUUUUUUUAAGUAUUCAUUUGAUCUUUAUGUUAAACCAAAGUUAAGUCAAUAAAUUAUUUUACCUUUACAAUUUCUCUAUAUGUUUUAUAAUUUGAUUUUGUGGUUGACACCAAUUGAUAUUCCAAUAUAAUAAAUCCUUUAAAUGUAUUGGUAUAUUAUAUUUAGGACUUAAUUAGGACUACAAAUAAUAUGCUUCAAGAUUAUUUUUCGAAUAAUAAUGCAUUUUGAAACUUAAUUCCAUAUAAAUGCAUUCAUAUUAUAUAAAAAAAAAUAAAUAAUAAUUGCAUAUUAUACUGGAUAUUUAAGCUUUUCUUAGUGUAUAAGGUUCUGAGUCUUGAACUAAUAAGUUGAAAAAUAAUUAUAAGCUCAUAUAGUUUUAUCAGUUUUAAAAUUUAUGAAAAUUAACUGAUUUCCAUGGUAGAGAUUCCUGCUCAUCCUUAGUAUUAAAUUUGUAUACUUUAUAAUACUUCAUUUUUUUUCUCCCCAUAGCAAAAGAUGUAUAUGAAAACUAACACAGGAGAAAUUGAAGUAUUUCUAUGUCCAGAAUACAAUACCAAUACAGUUGCACAACCGCAAAGUCAGUUAAGGCCGCCGUAUACAUCUCAGGUUGGUAUCGCUUAUGAAUUAUUUUUGGAUUUCACAAUUUGAUUAAAAAUAUUUUUGUUUUAGAAUGUCAAUAAUUCAUUGAUAGGCAACAAUACAGUUAUCAAAUCUCCCCAAAAAUCUUCUGUUAUUCAACAGUCACCAACAUAUUCAUCACAUAAGUACAAAAUGGGAACUAUCAAAUCAGAAAAUGAAGAGAACACAACAACAGAUAGAUGUAAAGAAAAGCCGUUAAACGAACAGCAGUAUAUGCCCAGUACAAGUGGUUCCGGUAUGCAAAUUAUUACACAUAUACCGCGUUUCAUUUUAAAUACACAUCUUGGUUUGCAUGAUGCUUGCAUGAUGUCCAUGAAAUUUCAAAAUAUUACUUUUACUUGUUUAUAAAUUCUUCAAUUUCUUUCUAUUUUCUAUUUUUGUUUUGUUUUUAACUAAUAUUUAUUUAAUCUUCUUAUAACUAGUUCUUAUCUAUUUAGUUUCCAUAAUUUAUUUUACUAUUGAUCCUUUAUUACAAAACAAUAUUUUGCAUGAUAGAUACUUGAUUCAAAAUGUAUGAUUAAUUUAAUUUAUACAUCUAGAUUCUAGUGUAUCUAGUAGUAAAUUUGUUUUGCCUUAAUUUUCAUUUUUCUAAUGAUAACCUUUCAUAAGUUAAUAUUACUAUUAUUAAAUUAUGUUAUUACCCUCUGUAACAUUUAUUAAAUCUGAUAGUUUCAACAUUUUGAAUAUGAUAUAUUUAAUAGAAAUUUUAAAUACUUAUUUUUUUGUAUGUUCUUAUGGGAUUAUAACAUUUCAUCUUGAUAAUAGUCUAUUAUAUAUGGUUGAAUUUCAUUAACUGCUUUUAAAUAAAAUGAUAAGGUAUACAAAAUAUUGCUAUUAACUCUAAGUGAAUAUAAUAUACAUUCAAAUUUCAAUUUAAUAAAUUAUCUCUCAUGUAUUUUUUUAUUUUUUAGAUUAAGUAUUAAUAUUUAAUUAUGUAAUUUUAUUUUACUGUUAUCUAAAUCCAACAUUAGCACAAUUAUAAUUUUUUAAGUAAAGUUCAUUACAUAAAGUACAUUUGCUACUAUUCAGAAUUCUUUUCAAUCUUCUCACAUUUUUAAUUACAAAUAUUGAGAGCUACAUCAUAAUCUAUUACAUUAUUAUUAUUUUAUAAUUUUUUUUUUUUAUAACUUUGAUUCAUCAAAGAAUCAAAUAAAUUUCAACAAAAACAUAAUAUUGUUAAUCUGAAUGUCUGUUUUAAACUCAAUUAUGUUCUUGUGGUUAAUGUAAAAAAAACUUCAUUGAUACUAUGAAAGUAAUAAAAUUAUUAUUUAGUUGAACAACAAUUAUUAGUAUUAUUAUUGUUAUUAUUAUUAUAUAUAUAUAUAUAUAUAUAUAUAUAUAUUUUUAUUUUUAUUUUUAUUUUUAUUUUUAUUUUUUUGCUUUAUUUGUUUGUCGUAUAACAUUGUCUUGUAUUAUAUACAUUUUGCUUUUAUGAUAUAAUAAUAUUAUAAUCUUAUAAAAAUUAACUGAAAAGUAUGAAUAGCAAAAUUAUUAAAAUAUUUUGUUUUGUUUUACUGCUCCAUAUUAUCCGGAAAUAAUUUUUGAAAAAAAACUUGCAAUUGCUUCGGUUUUACUGCUGUUGAGUGUAAAACAGUCAUGUCGGUUGUCCGCUGAAUUUUACGAGUGCCUCAUGUAAUGUAUCUCUUUUAGCACCAUUGAAUUCAGCUGUCGCCUGGUGUGUGGUCUGCUUUUGCCUUAUGUACAAUCAGUGCUUCUUCAUUUACCACAUAUCUUAUCACAAUAUUAUUAUGUAGUAUGUAAAUAUUGUAUUAUUUUAAAUUAAAAUACAAAUGGUUCAUACGGAUCUUUUUAUUUUUCAAAAGUUGUGCAGUGUAGCUAAUGAAUUUUUAACAAUUAUUAACAUUAAAUUCUUCAGUUCUAUUCAUAUAUUUGAUAUUGAUUUUUUUUUUCAUCAUAUAUAUAUAUAUAUAUAUAUUAAAGAAAUUUACUAUUCUAUAGUAUAAGAAUCAUAGAAAUUUUAUUAUUUACUUAAAUAUUGAUUUCACUAGUCUUGCUUCUUUCUUUAACGCAUGUUGUCUAGUUAUUUUUUUAUUGAGUAAGUUUGGUUUUCAUUAAAACCUAGUGUGAAUUUAUUAUAUUUGUAUUUUUUUUUUUAGUCAAAGAUACAUUUGAAAUAUCUUGUGAACCUUUCUUGAUGCUGGAGCCACCAAAUGAAGACGACUACAACUACUGUUUAGAUUCUGAUGAGGGUCUUGGUGACCUGUUUGGCUUUAGAUUAUAAGUCUGCUCUGAUAGUAAUAAUUUUUAUUAUAUAUAAUUACUAUAUGUAUAUAUAUACACACGUGUGUGUAUUAUUAUUAUUUUUUUUAAAAUUUGAGUCAUUUUUAUUUUCCCUCUUCUAACAGUUUGUAAUUUUUUACCAAAUAUUUGGUACAACUAUUUAAUUAAAUCAAUUUUUAUUUUUAUUUUAUAUUUUUUUCAGACCCACAUUUGUUUUUUUGGUUAUUUAUUAUUCCAAAUUUAAUUUUCGAAUACCUAAACCAAUAUUAUUUAACAACCAUUAUUAUUAUUUUAUUAUAUUUUUAUUUUAGUUUCCAUUUUUUUUUAAUUUGAUCAUUAUUUUUUGGACGUAUUAAAAAUAUUUUGAUAUCAAGGUACAAAAAUAAGUUAUUUAAAGUAUCGUUGUUUUUUAGUAAUUAAAAAUUCAGCAAUUGCAAAUGUGUUCAAAUUAUAAAUUAUUUUGUUUUAUUCGUUUUUAUGUUCUUUUCGCAUGUGUGCAAUUUUUUGAUCACUAAUUUACUAGUAACUAUUGUUACUAUGUUAAAUUUUAAAGGAAACAAAAUUAUAUUUUAUACAAAUUAGUGCCUUUUAUUUAUAAAAAUAAUUAAAAAAUGAGCUUCCCUUUAAGAUAAAAAUAUACCAUUAAGGCAUGGGGAUUGCUCGCCAUCCAGAACUGAAAAAGCAGUGUUUGCAUCAUCAAAUCAUUUAAUUUAUGUAUAUUUAAAUGUCUUUAAUUAUAAAUUGUAUAUUUUAUUACUGUUAGUUUUAGUAUACUACCUUUAGUUUUAUAAGUAAAAAUUAGAAUUAUUCCAUAAUAAUAAUGUAAAUUUACCAUCAUGUAAUUACUAAAUUUUUGUUGUUUUGGUACGUCUUGUAUACCAAAAUCUUUUAUGAUUUUUUUUCUUCCCAUCAUGAUCUAUGAUACCCAAUCCGGUGAUCUCUAUUUAUACCAUAAACAUGAGGAAUUUAUAAUGUAUUUAAUACACCAUAAUAUUCUUGAUUUUUUAAAUGAUCGUGUUUAGAGGUUUCUCCAUUAUGCAUGUAUUCAAAUCUUCUUUAGUCUAAAGGUGUGUUUUGUGUUUUCUUACCGUAUAAUGUAUAUUAUGUAUAACAAAUAAUGGUAUGUCAAAUUUUAUUGAUACACUGCCCUGUUCUGUUGGUGUAUAGAUUACACAUUUUUUCUGAUAUAGUUUGUUUUGGUUAAUUUUCCCUCUGAUAACCCUUUAUUAUGAUAAAAUGUGUAUCAAAAUUUUCUUAUUUUUGUGGUGAAUGAUUUAUUUUAAAAAUAUAAUAUAUAUAUAUUUCGCUAUCAACAACAAUUUUGUUUCGCUUUUACCAUGUAAAGAUAUGAAUCUUUCAGGCUCUGUAUUUAUUGACUUGUUUGUCUAACUGCAUUUUAUUAUGCACUAAUGGAUAAUAAACCGUUGAUUUGCUUUAAUGGACUUCUCACAAUCAUUAUUUAUCAUUAAAUAAUUAUUUGUUCUCGGAUAAUUUGUAUGUAAAAAUAUGGUCAAAUUCAAUUAAAUGUUUAUAACAUUUUUAUUGAAAAACAUUCAGUAACUUUUAUACUCAAUCUUUGUAUGAAACGCACCUUUUGUACUGGUAUUUCUUUUCUUAAUUAUAAUAAUUACAAUAUUUUUUUUUUAGGUCAUUAAUACCAUUGUAAUUUAUGUAUUUAUUUUAUUUUUUUAUUAUUUUAGCAUAAU